GCGGAGCCGGUGAAGGAAGCCGCAGGCGCGGAUGGAGGCGAAGAGAUCAGGAGCAGUAAAGGAACACUCUCUUCCCCAGUCAGCUGGGAUACGGAUUUUGUAAGGCCUAGGGACUUUGUCUUUGGAGGUCCUGUCUCCAUAAGGCUUCCCAAAACAAAGAAUGUUCAGAUUGGACUGGCCUUAAAAUGCAGUAUUUAAAACAGCAACAUGUCUGACAGAUCCGAGAAAUGAAAUACGUCCAUUUCUUUUGGCAAGGAGCAGAAGGCAACAUAAAGCAGCUGCAAGAAUUAAUUCAUGGAGAUAGUUGACAUUUUCGAGCUGACUGCCUCUUAGAGAAAAUGAUGUCAUUCUCCAGCAGCCUAAUGACAGUCAUCAGCCUGAGAGGACACAUGCUAAUAAGACUAUCACCAGCAAAGAAUUUUCUGAGCAAAUGUGUACUGGAGACCUUCUGAGGAACCCACUAGAGCCUGCACAUCCCCUUUUCCUAGCAAGGUCAACUGGAAAACAGUGUUCUUUCCAAGAUAACGUGCAACUUUCCUUUGGAAUGAUCAGCAGAAUGUCAAAUAAGGAAAGGACAUGUAGAGUUCAUGGGAGGAGACAUUACUUCUGGCUGCAGAAUUAUGGAGGCUUUAUGGGAGACGCCGUAUAUUUUAUCUGUGCGCCUUGAUCACGUGUCUGACCAUGGACAGAGAAACCAGCCUAAUGAGCCUUCUUUACAGGUGACCCUCUAGCCCUUGGUGAACAUCUUGUUUUUAUUCUUUCUUAAUUCCAACACUUAUUCUUGACAACUUUACAAAUGAACAAAUCUUAUUUACUAAAUUGUUGAUGUAGUUUUUGUCUAACACAGGGCUGAUUUUACCCUUGAGAGACGGACACAAGGCUUCAUUUAGGGGAGGAUUAGGUUUGAUGUUUAUUCACUGCACGAGGCAGAUUGGUUUUAGAGACAUGGGUUACAGUCUUGGCUUUUCCUGUUACUGCUUUUGGGUCUUUAGAUGAACAUUUUGCUUUCUCUAGACUCCUUCUUUAUAUAUAAAACAACUACAUCUUUGGACCUAUAAUAACUGUUGGUGGUCUCCAAUGAGACAAGGAUAUGAGGGUGCUUUGUGAAUGGCUACCCAAAUGUAAAAUAUUAUUAUUAUUAUUAUCAUUCAGUAUUAUAAAAUAUUGAUAAAAAUAUUGUCUAGAUUUUUCAGACAUCUUAGAAGUCUUCUUUUUCUUCAGGGAAAAAGAGAACCCUAAAUAUCAAUUAUAAUCAGAAUUUCACAGCAAGUAAAAAUACCUGUGUGUUAAUGAAAUUAAUCCUUAAUGAACCAGAUGACAAUGACUAUUUGAUAUCUGACCUUAAUUUUUUAAACCAGGCAUCAAAACACUUAGAAGUGGGUAGGCAGGGUGAGUACAGAAGAGGAGUGGUGGAAUUCCCUUUACUGUAGGUUAGUUGGAAAGAGAGAAUCAAGAUUCAUAUGACUCUCAGGCAAAAAGAGUGGGAAGAGAUAGACUGAAAUCUCCAUAUUCACAGGUAAGAACAGACAUUUCUUGGCCCAAAUGAUAAAGCAAUGUUCAGCUCUUCUAGUCAAGUCGCCCAUACUGUGGAAUUCCAAGGAAACAGUCUUCACUCCUGUUAAGUGAUAUUCCUGGCCAUUGUCAAUGCGCAAGUCCCACAACAAGGCAGAGACAUUCAUGCUCUUCAUUAACAUUCCCCUAAGGUCUCAGUUUGCAUCUCUCUAUCCAUCUCCUAGCUCUGAAAGGAAGUUUCCUGGGAAACCUUUUCUAUGAAUGGAAUGGAUGAGGUUUGUCCCAUGAGGGAAGAAUUAAAAAAAAAAAAAACAAAAAACACACAGACACACACAACAACAACACAGUACAACAAAAAAACUUCUUUCCCACUGCAGCCAGGAGCAGAUUACGCCUAUCUUUUUUCAAGGACAGGUGGAAAUUCUGACCAUGUGGUAUUCAGUCAUACUAGGAAUGUUGCUCUCUCAAUUUAACAGGAGAGCUUCCUUUCUUACUGAUUAAAAAAGUCAAAAGGGGUUUAAAAUUGCUUAGGUAAAAAGAACUAUGGUUGAGUUUUCUCAGCCACAGAUAAACAUUGGCUCUUUCUGAUCUGCUCUGUUGUCAGCUAUGUAAUGACUCAGUUUGUGCAUUGUUCUCCUUGUUCAGAACAGAAGGGAGAGUAAACCUUAUCCACAGGCUCCUGUUACAAGUAGACCUUCCCCUUCCAUCAGAGGUGGGCUUUGUGCGACACAGUCAGGACAUUCACAAAUUAAAAGAUGAAGAACAGCCCACAUUUUCACCAGCUAUUGAUAUUCCCUAUCCCAGUAAACCAUGGGUUUUCGUCUGAGUAUUUUUUUCCAACUUAAAGAGAGAGAGAGAAAGAGAGAAUAUGUAGGCUAACCAGCUCUAUUGCUAACAAAAGAAAUAGUUAAGAGAGGAAAACAACCAGGGAUGAAAAUCAGGCUUUUAUUUGAAUCUUCUUGCUUCUUUUCAGCACCAGCUUCCUGGCUAACUUGAGCAUCCUAUUCCUGAGCUGGUUGAAAUAUGCCUUUUUUAAAAAAACAACUUUAAUGAGAUAUAAUUUACAUACCAUAAAAUUCAUCUGUUUAAAGUAUGGGACUCAAUGGACCCAGUGGUUUUUAGUAUAUUUAUAGAUUUGUUCAACCAUUACCAUAAUCAAUUUUAUAACAUUUUCAUCAAUCCAAAAGGAAGCCCAGUACCCAUUUGCUGACACUCCCCAUUCUCCCCACUCCACCACCAGCCCUAAGCAGCCACGAAUCUACCUUCUGUCUCUAGAGAUUUGUCUAUUGGAUCUUUCAUACAGAAGCAUGCAAUAAUGUGAUUUGUUUGUUUGUUUUGUUUU
rnacentral:lncRNA from 1 species